CACGUAGAAGGCUAGUGUUAUUCAUCUUUAUUAGGUUUAAAGGGUACUUAGACGGGAAAUCAAGCCAUAAUAGGGACUAAUUUUCUAAGAUUGUUUGAUGAGAAGGGAAGGGCAAUUUCCGGAGGAAAGUUGAUAUUUUGUGAUACUGGAAGGACGGGUAACGGCGAAGGCAACCUUUUAUGUAAAAACUGACGUUGAGGGACGAAGCCUUGGGUAACGAGAAGG
rnacentral:rRNA from 1 species